AACAGAUUCAAUGGUUCUUGUGAUUCUGGAUGUAACCCCGGAUGGCAGGGAUAUGAGUGUCAAGAUGCUUGUGACAAGGAAUCAUUUGGUGAUAACUGCAGUAAAACAUGUGGACACUGUCGUGACGUCAACCACUGUUCCAAUAUUAACGGAACAUGUUUGACUGGAUGUGAUGUUGGUUAUCACGGGGACUUGUGUAAAACACCCUGCCCUUACGGAUUUUUUGGACAAGAUUGUGCUGACAGAUGUAACGACAUCUGUGAUGGCUGUAACAGAUUCAAUGGUUCUUGUGAUACUGGGUGUAACCCCGGAUGGC